UACGUAGGGGGCAAGCGUUGUCCGGAUUUAUUGGGCGUAAAGAGCGUGAAGGCGGUUUGGUAGGUCCGCUGUGAAAACUCGAGGCUCAACCUCGAGACGCCGGUGGAAACCAUCAGGCUAGAGUCCGGAAGAGGAGAGUGGAAUUCCCGGUGUAGCGGUGAAAUGCGCAGAUAUCGGGAAGAACACCCGUGGCUAAGGCGGCUCUCUAAUACGUGACUGACGCUGAGACGCGAAAGCGUGGGGAGCGAACAGG
rnacentral:rRNA from 1 species